AGGGUCUCACUUCAAGCGGAAACGAAGCCGAAAAUUUGUUGGUGCUGUUAACGUUGAUGCUGCGGAGAUGCCGGUAAGCAGCGGCCGGCGUGGCCAGUCAGCAUUGGUGCACACACAAACUUGUGGAGGAGAAACGUGUGCCGCAGUCCGCGUCAUCUAAAGGCUUAGGUUUGUGUGUGUGUGUGUGCGUCCAUAACAAAUGGGCAGAAUUGCCACUCGGAGACUGCAGAUAAACAUUCCCAGCUGCUGCCGCCACUGUUGCUGCCGUCGAUAUCUGCGCCUACGCAGCGCGAAGACGCAAGUCUGAGGACCGCCGUCAGUGCCGCCUCCUGUAUCCAUGGUCCUCUGCCGUUGUUGCUAUCCUAGAAAAGAUCAGGCGGGCAGCACAGGGCCGAUUCCAGCUUGUGGCCGUACAUAGGGCAGGUCAUCGUCGUCAUGUCCAUCGCGCAGGCCCCUGUUACUGGCCAGAGACAGGCGAGAAACACGGACCUCGGAAUGCCGAUUGGAUUUUGCGGUGUGAUCAUUUCCUGCUGCUGCUGCCGCUGUUGUUGUUGUUGCUGCUGCUGGGUGAAAGCAGCCGCCGAUGCGUGCUAAUUGGCUACUGUGGCAAUGAAUUCUUCCUGCUGCUGCCUCCACCGCUGCUAGCGCUGCUGCAGGUGGAUGUGUCGCCGCAUUAUGGAUCUGCCUACGUAAGGAUUGACACCAGAACCGGCGCUCGCACCUAGGAGACACCUCUGUUGCUGCUGUUGUUCCGAGAGAUGCAUGCGCCGCCGUUGCUAUCCGAAGGUUGUCGGGCUUUUGUUGUUGUUGUUUCUGGUCUUGCUGCUGCUGUUGCUGUUGCCGCUGACAUGGGAGGAAACGCUGGUGAGUCGCCAGAUGCCAGUCCCGCGUCUUCAAAAGGAAAAGCCGGUUUGCCAGGAGCGCUGACACUGCUACCACUGCCUUUGCUGCCCCAUCUGCUGCUAAUGGGGCAAGAAUACCCAAAAUGCUGCUCCGUCCAACAGAUUUCCGACGCCUCGCCGCUGCAUAAGCAUCCGCUUGCGGAUACUCUAGUUAACGGCGCUCCAGUAUCCUAACUCAGGAGUUCCUGAGUCUGUCCUUUCGUCCGUCCCGUCAACCCUGAUGCGCUCAUCCCAUCAGUGGCGGGAGGGAGAGCAUGCGCCGCAGUCCAGCGUCAUCUACAGGAAAAAGCCAGUUGUCCAGGAAAGCAAUUUAAUGCUUUAGCUGAAAGGGAAGAAACUAAUCCAUGCUUCUUUCUUUUUUCCAGGGCAAAUCGCCAGGGGCCAAGCGAGGAGUCUGGUCGAGUCUGUAAAAUGGAAACUGCUGCAAAACAUUAAAUGCUGGUGCUGCCGAUGUUGCUGCCGCUGGUGUGAGUGUGAGUUGCUGCCGCUGGCGUGAGAAGAAGAUGUUGCCAUCACUCCGGAGAUUGCAUGCGCCGCUGUUGCUGCGUUUCCAGACUGUUGCCACCGGGAGAUUGACUGCGCAUGGCUGCCAUGUUGCUGGUGACGCCCAUGUCCAGGCCCGCUGCCGUCUCCUGCCCAAUCAAUCCAGGCAGUCCCUAUGGACGCAUACCGCCAAUCGGUAUCUCAUCGCCAAAGGACCGAUACUGGGAUUUACUCGGCCAGGCAUUGGCCGCCGAUCCCGUUGCCGCUACCGUUGCUGCUACUACUGCCUCUGGAGAGAGACAACGCCACGAGCUGAAGCAUCCUUUCCUCACAGAGCCGGAUUUGCAAACGCCGGCACUGAGCUCGGAGCUGAGAGCGUCACAUUGGAGUCGGAUCUUCAGAAAUCAGGAACUUCAGCUCCCUCUUUCAGGGCCUCCAGGAGUGGUGGGUGUGGCCAGCGAACCGUUCAGCUCACCGCUUGGUCUCUGCCGCCACUGUUGCUGGCCUUGCUGCUGUUGUUGUUGCUGCCUUGGUGAGCUAAAUCUAUUGUCAGUCGCCCGAUGCGCUGUUGUUUUUGUUGUAGAAGUUGGACCGCCAGUGUGGCGUCCAUUACAGCAGCAGAUGGAUCAUCAGGAGCCGUAGAGUCGCAGAUCCCUCGGUCGGAAAGGAGAGAUGGAUCUUCAAUCAUGCCAGGAGAGUCAUUUAAAUACGCAGCCAUCCAGCCAUCAUAAUUUUGUUAUUCAGUAGGUGUUUAGUUAAGUUAAUUUUACCAUUAUAUCUAUAAGCACUUUUCCCUUUUUAUGUAACCUGAACUUAGCCUUUAGCCUUUUUGUAUUUCUUUAUUUCUUUUCAAUAUUUUUGCCACCCCUUCCGCCAGUUUAGUUAUUUCUGCCUUCUGCACCUACCCUGGUUUGUUUUGAUUUAAUUUUAGUCCCCUUCGUAGUCAGGUAGGAUUAUUCGUUGUACAUUUAAUGGUUGCCCUCUGAAUCUUUCUAUCAUUUCCUGCCUGGUUAGAUCGCCAUUUCUAUAUUGUCUAUUAUAUCGGUUUAUAUCCGAUUCACACCAUCUAUCUGGGGGCCACUUUUGAUUUUCCCUUUCUUUUCUUUCCCUCUCUUCCUGUUUUUUUAUUCUUUUGAGCUCAUUCUCCUCUUCCUCUAGUCUUAGCAGGGUAGGGAGUUCAGUUAGAUGCGUUUGUCUUAUUUUCUCUCUCUCGCUUCGCUUCUUUAAGGUUCUGCAGUCGUCUAGGUCUGGGAUUUCUAAGAGUUUAGGUGAGAGAGUCAGUCCAGUCUGUUUUAGGGUGAUAUGGUCCCUUGUCAUUUUCAAGUAUCUCUGCCUGCUUUUUUCUAGUCUAUUCGGGAUAUAGUGCCUAGAGAAUAUCCUGCGAACAGCUAUGUUCGGGUGCGAUUUUGUAGUUUCUGAGAACCUGUGGACAGCCUGUUGAUAGAACUCUUCUACUGUUUUGACACAAAACCGGUCCCUUAUAGUUUGGUUUUUCGUGUAUCUUCCUGCUCUGCAUAUGUCUCUCAUUUUCUUGUUUUCCUCAACUUGGAGCCGUCUUAUUUGUGCAUCUGUCACAAGGGGACCCCAUGCAGCUAUGGCGUACUGCCAUAUUGGCGAUAGAACUGAUUUGAGGAUCAGCAUCUUAGUAUUAGUAGGGAGUUUACUUCUUUCAUUUAAAAUCCAUGACAUUUUUCUAUAGGCUGUCAAGUAUUUGCCCACUACCUUUGUGACGUGAGGACUAAGUGUUAGUUUGCUGUCAAGGACUACGCCAAGGUAUGAUUGCUUGCUUUCCUUUUUUAUAGCUUGACCCUUAAUCUUCACAGUCUUUAGGUUUGUAGGUAUGUCGUUUUUUAAUGUAUAGAUGACAUGUCCUGUUUUGGAAGCAUUUACUGAGAUACCCCAUUUGUCUGCCCAGUCCGAAAAUGUCUUGAGGUAGUUUUCAUUGUUUCUUGUGGCGGCAGUUGGUAGUAUGGCUGAGCUGAGUACUAUAGUGUCGUCUGCGUAAGUUGAGAGCAUAAUUCUUUCUGUUGGUGAAGGGCGGUGGAUAUAUGGAAGAGGCAUGUCUGAGGAGAAGAUAGAAUAGAGUAGUGGUCCAAGAUUGCUUCCUUGAGGCACCCCUGCGCCUAUUUGUCCUGUUCUCGAAGUCUCUCCAGCUUGGUCUUUCACCUCGAACGUUCUGUUUGUAAGGUAGCUCUCCAGAAUGAUGUAUAGGUUGUAUGGUAAUAUUUUAGCUAGUUUUAACAAAAGUCCUUCGUGCCAUACCCUAUCAAAAGCCUCAGAGAUGUCUAGGAAAACCGCUGAGCAGUAUUCCUUUCGCUCAUAGGCCUCGAGGAUGAACUGGGUGACCCUGGCUAUUUGCUGCUCGGUUCCGUGCUCUUUUCUGAAGCCAAAUUGGUGAAGUGGGAUGGCUUUUUUGAAUAGAUCUACCCUAAAAAGUCUUUUUAGGAGUAGUCUUUCAAAUAUCUUAGAGAGGCCCGAGAGUAGACUAAUCGGUCUGUAUGACUUCGGGUCGUUUACACUUUUCCCUGGUUUCAAUAUCAUCUUCACUUGGGCAUGUUUCCAGGCGUCUGGGUAGUAUCCAAUUCUAAGUAUCGAGUUGUAAAUUAGAAUAAGGUACAGAGUAGCUUUAGUCGGUAGGGUUUUUAUAAGCUGGUUUGUUAGAAGGUCUUUUCCCGGUGCUUUACUAUUCUUUAAGUUUUUAAUUUCGUCAUUUAAUUCCUUUAGCGUAAUAGGUUGGUUAUGCGGGUUUUUGUUUACAUCAUAUCUUUCUGUUAGCAUGCUUUCCUUAAUUGUUCUUAGUCCAGAAUUAACUAUAUCUAUGUGGUAAUCAGGUACAUUAUUAUUUGGCUUAAAUCUUCCUUCCAAGUGGGAAACAAAA